AUUGAACGCUGGCGGCAGGCCUAACACAUGCAAGUCGAACGAGUGGCGGACGGGUGAGUAAUGUCUGGGAAACUGCCUGAUGGAGGGGGAUAACUACUGGAAACGGUAGCUAAUACCGCAUACCAUCAGAUGUGCCCAGAUGGGAUUAGCUUUUUGGUGGGGUAACGGCUCACCAAGGCGACGAUCCCUAGCUGGUCUGAGAGGAUGACCAGCCACACUGGAGCAGGGACACGGUGCAGACCCGUAAGGGAGGGAGGAGUGGGGAAUAUUGCAGAACGGGGCGAAGCCUGGUGCAGACAUGCCGGGUGUAUGGAGAAGGGCUUCGGGGUGUAAAGUACUAGCAGCGGGGAGGCGUUACCCGCAGAAGAAGCACCGGCUAACUCCGUGCCAGCAGCCGCGGUAAUUC
rnacentral:rRNA from 1 species